ensembl:lncRNA TPRXL tetrapeptide repeat homeobox like (pseudogene)
ACUAUGAGAACAUUCCAACCAUGAACUCAGACUAUGAGAAUAUCCAGAUUCUGCCCUGGAGGCCUGCAGGGCUGGUGUGUUCAGGAAGCUGUUUGAAGAUCAGAGCAGAGCCCUGUCCACAGCAAACUAAAAUGAUGGCUAUGUGGACAUGAGCAGCUUCAACACCUUUAAGAACAAUCAGCAGAGCACAGACCAGGACGCAGAAAGGAGUGGACAACACCUGGCCCCAGCUGAGUGCCUCCUAGCACUGAGGAAAGCAGAACCAAGCUUUGCAACAAUGAACUCUCCUUGCUGGAAGAGACCGCCCACCUCUAACAGAAUUUUGUAGCUGGAGGAAACUUCAGACACAAGUCCUGUUACAGAAGAGGAAACUGGCACAGAGAGGAAAUGGUGCUUGCAUAAGGUCUCUGGACAGAGUCUUGCCCUGUUGCCCAGGCUGGAGUAUAGUAGUGCAGUGGUGUGAUCAUAGCUCACUGUAACUUCGACCACCUGGGCUCAAACAAUCCUUCUUCCUCUGCCUCCCAAGUAGCUGGGACUACAGAGCAGGACCCAGGAUGCAAGACCCUAGGCAUCCCCAAGGCCUUCCACUGUCCCCAGGCCUUCCAAAGAGACAGCGGCAGGACCGCACAAUCUACAACUGGAAACAGCAGGAAGUGCUAGAAAAUCACUUUAAGGAGGAACAGUACCCAGACUAUGACACACGACAAGAGCUGGCGGAGAUGCUCAAUCUCAGGGAGUACCAAGUGCAGGUGUG